rnacentral:misc_RNA from 1 species
AGAGAAACCUGAAUUCACGAACAGAACGUUAAUAUCACCACAAUAAUAAUUGUCUAGUUUUUGCUAAGAGCAAUUACAACUUAGAACUGAAUAGCCCUAUAAAAAGAGCUCAAACUACCAAAAACCUAAUCUUUAACUUCAUUUAGCUCAGAAACAUCAUAACAGUGCAAAUAUUUCAGGACAACAUCCACAUGUUUGACAGCAAUGUUCUUAUAAAUGAGUUUGUGCCUGAAACAAUUCGAUCAAAUUUUCUUGCUUCCCCGGGGACCAACACCCAAGUAGUUUGUCAUGAGACCCAUAAUACCAAACAUCAUGGCCAUUGAGAUCUGCUUAAGAUCAUUUUCCAUAUUCCUCAUGUUAGCAAGGGAUUGAGCACUGAAUAUAAUAGCAAGCCACGAGCAAAUCUUGUAUCUAAACAUGGCACCAAAGACGCCGCAGAUGACGGCUAUGAAGCCGGAGUAAUCUAUAGGAAGAUCUUGUGGAGCGACCGGCGAAGGCUUGUACGGCUUUGCCGUCGACGGUUGCCGUGGAUCGUUCGCUGGUGACGACAUGGCUGCUGUAGUUUCUGCUCCGAAA